rnacentral:rRNA from 1 species
CCUACGGGGGGCAGCAGUGAGGAAUAUUGGUCAAUGGACGAGAGUCUGAACCAGCCAAGUAGCGUGAAGGAUGACUGCCCUAUGGGUUGUAAACUUCUUUUAUAAAGGAAUAAAACGAGGCACGUGUGCCUUUUUGCAUGUACUUUAUGAAUAAGGAUCGGCUAACUCCGUGCCAGCAGCCGCGGUAAUACGGAGGAUCCGAGCGUUAUCCGGCUUUAUUGGGUUUAAAGGGAGCGUAGAUGGGUUGUUAAGUCAGUUGUGAAAGUUUGCGGCUCAACCGUAAAAUUGCAAUUGAUACUGGCAGUCGUGAGUACAGUUGAGGUAGGCGGAAUUCGUGGUGUAGCGGUGAAAUGCUUAGAUAUCACGAAGAACCCCGAUUGCGAAGGCAGCUUACUAAACUGUGACUGACAUUGAUGCUCGAAAGUGUGGGUAUCAAACAGGAUUAGAUACCCGUGUAGUC